UCCCGUUUUGUAUGUACCUUAUGAAUAAGGAUCGGCUAACUCCGUGCCAGCAGCCGCGGUAAUACGGAGGAUCCGAGCGUUAUCCGGAUUUAUUGGGUUUAAAGGGUGCGUAGGCGGCCUUUUAAGUCAGCGGUGAAAGUCUGUGGCUCAACCAUAGAAUUGCCGUUGAAACUGGGGGGCUUGAGUAUGUUUGAGGCAGGCGGAAUGCGUGGUGUAGCGGUGAAAUGCAUAGAUAUCACGCAGAACCCCGAUUGCGAAGGCAGCCUGCCAAGCCAUUACUGACGCUGAUNNNNNNNNNNAAGCCAUUACUGACGCUGAUGCACGAAAGCGUGGGGAUCAAACAGGAUUAGAUACCCUGGUAGUCCACGCAGUAAACGAUGAUCACUAGCUGUUUGCGAUACAUUGUAAGCGGCACAGCGAAAGCGUUAAGUGAUCCACCUGGGGAGUACGCCGGCAACGGUGAAACUCAAAGGAAUUGACGGGGGCCCGCACAAGCGGAGGAACAUGUGGUUUAAUUCGAUGAUACGCGAGGAACCUUACCCGGGUUUGAACGCAUUCGGACCGAGGUGGAAACACCUUUUCUAGCAA
rnacentral:rRNA from 1 species